rnacentral:misc_RNA from 1 species
AAGUCGUAACAAGGUUUCCGUAGGUGAACCUGCGGAAGGAUCAUUAUUGAAUAAACUUGAUGUGGUUGUAGCUGACUCUCUCGAGAGUAUGUGCUCGCCCGUCAUCUUUAUCUUUCCACCUGUGCACUUCUUGUAGAUUUGGAUGUAGCUUUCCGAGGUAACUCGGUCGGGAGGAAUGUCAACUCUUGUUGACUUUCCUUGUAUGUCCAAGUCUAUGUUUUUAUAUACUCCAAUGAAUGUAACAGAAUGUGUCACUGGGCCUUGUGCCUAUAAACUAUAUACAACUUUCAGCAACGGAUCUCUUGGCUCUC